UGGCGGGAUUUUCCCCAGCUGCAUGUCUUAUUCCCUCCCCUGUACAUGCCUGACCGUACAUUGGUUACAGAUGGAUUUGGGAGACUUUUACAUGAACACCAUCUCUAGCUUUGUAAAACGUUCCAGCCAGGAAAAUUGUGAAUGACCUUUAUUGAUCUAUGGCCACAGACAAGCCCCACCCUUGUGAACAGGCCAUCAUUUCCCUCUUCGUCACUCCGUACAUCCUGCUGAUUCUGGAUUUGAACCAGAAACCUUAGGGAUGAUGGUCUUAGUCCAAAAACAAGAGAAUCAGAAUGAGGAUUGGCCAAGAACGGUCACAACUAGAAUCACCAGGGUUCUGUCAACUAUGAGCUAUGUUGAUGAACUAUGAUACACGUAGAAACAGUUUUACGUAUGUUUCGGAUGCCAUUUGAUGCACACAAACUUUGGUACCACAGACGCAUAUCUGCGGUUAAUCUCUCCAAAAGACAGAACCGGGGACAAAAAGUGAGGUGGUGAAUCUCACUGGUCCCCGGACUUUACUUGAAUCUGAAAAAUGAUUGCUUUCAUCAGUAGCCAGUUCUAAAAAGGUCAGGUUCUGUUGAAGACAGAAUAAUUAGAAUCCACCUCCCUGUUAAAAGAUGUAAGAUAGUCUAAAAGCUGAACUCAGUUGGUAAUGCAGAUAUUGACCAGACUCGAAACUCAACAUGUUCAAAAUAUUCCAAUGCUUAGA